CCACCUUCAGUUCAUACUGCUGCUUCAGCUGACGAUACCUGCAAGAGAGAGAGAGAAGUGUGGUGAAAAGAACAAGGAAAUGUACCAGGGUUGUCCUGAACCUCCUUCACCUCCUUCAGGCUGGACAGAACUGAUGCAGACUGGGAGCGAGCACCUGAGAGGAGGAAAAAAAGCCAGUUUACUUUUUGAGUGCUUGAGUGAGUUCAAAUAAAACCAUCGCUGCAGGGUUCCCUGUGGGUCAAAGAUGUCUCCACCGAGUGUGACUGUCUUGGUCAUCACCUGCUUAUCGAAA